rnacentral:rRNA from 1 species
GGCGUACAGGACGAACGCUGGCGGCGUGCCUAACACAUGCAAGUCGAGCGAGGAGAUCCUUCGGGAUGAUCCUAGCGGCGGACGGGUGAGUAACACGUGGGCAACCUGCCUCAUAGAGAGGAAUAGCCUUCCGAAAGGGAGAUUAAUACCUCAUAACAUUGCAGUUUCGCAUGGAACAGCAAUUAAAGGAGUAAUCCGCUAUGAGAUGGGCCCGCGGCGCAUUAGCUAGUUGGUGAGGUAACGGCUCACCAAGGCGACGAUGCGUAGCCGACCUGAGAGGGUGAUCGGCCACAUUGGGACUGAGACACGGCCCAGACUCCUACGGGAGGCAGCAGUGGGGAAUAUUGCACAAUGGGGGAAACCCUGAUGCCAGCAACGCCGCGUGAGUGAUGACGGCCUUCGGGUUGUAAAGCUCUGUCUUCAGGGACGAUAAUGACGGUACCUGAGGAGGAAGCCACGGCUAACUACGUGCCAGCCGCCGC